CCUACGGGAGGCAGCAGUGGGGAAUAUUGCACAAUGGGGGAAACCCUGAUGCAGCGACGCCGCGUGAGUGAAGAAGUAAUUCGUUAUGUAAAGCUCUAUCAGCAGGGAAGAAAAUGACGGUACCUGAGUAAGAAGCACCGGCUAACUACGUGCCAGCAGCCGCGGUAAUACGCAGGGGGCAAGCGUUAUGCGGAUUUACUGGGUGGAAAGGGAGCGUAGACGGCAGGGCAAGUCUAGCGUGAAAGGCGGGGGCUCAACCCCCGGACUGCUCUUGAAACUGUACGGCUGGAGUGCAGGAGAGGUAAGUGGAAUUCCUGGUGUAGCGGUGAAAUGCGUAGAUAUUAGGAGGAACACCAGUGGCGAAGGCGACUUACUGGACUGUAACUGACGUUGAGGCUCGAAAGCGUGGGGAGCAAACAGGAUUAGAUACCCGGGUAGUC
rnacentral:rRNA from 1 species